UACGAAGGGGGCUAGCGUUGCUCGGAAUCACUGGGCGUAAAGCGCACGUAGGCGGGUCUUUAAGUCAGGGGUGAAAUCCUGGAGCUCAACUCCAGAACUGCCUUUGAUACUGAAGAUCUCGAGUCCGGAAGAGGUGAGUGGAACUCCGAGUGUAGAGGUGAAAUUCGUAGAUAUUCGGAAGAACACCAGUGGCGAAGGCGGCUCACUGGUCCGGUACUGACGUUCAGGCACGAAAGCGUGGGGAGCAAACAGG
rnacentral:rRNA from 1 species